rnacentral:ncRNA from 1 species
GUUUCGGGACGACCUGAAACAGCGCUUUAUUAGCUGGGACGACCCAG